AACGAACGCUGGCGGCAUGCCUAACACAUGCAAGUCGAACGAGACCUUCGGGUCUAGUGGCGCACGGGUGGGUAAAGGGUGGGAACAUGCCCUUAGGUUCGGAAUAACUCGCGGAAAGGGGUGCGAAUACCGGAUAAUGUAUUGGGAACAAAGAUUUAUCGCCUUUGGAUGGGCCCGCGUUGGAUUAGCUAGAUAGUAGGGUAAAAGCCUACCAAGGCGACGAUCCAUAGCUGGUCUGAGAGGAUGAUCAGCCACACUGGGACUGAGACACGGCCCAGACUCCUACGGGAGGCAGCAGUGGGUAAUAUUGGACAAUGGGCGAAAGCCUGAUCCAGCAAUGCCGCGUGAGUGAUGAAGGCCUUAGGGUUGUAAAGCUCUUUUACCCGUGAUGAUAAUGACAGUACCGGGAGAAUAAGCUCCGGCUAACUCCGUG
rnacentral:rRNA from 1 species